UGUCAGACCUGAGUUCCUUCCCUGCCUCAAGGCUGAGGCGAAUCUAGUCCUUUAUACGCAAACUUACAUCAAAAUAUACUCCAAAUGAAAAACCACAAUUCUUCCACCUUUUUUGUUUUCUGUAAAUGUUUUGUCCUUCACAGAAAACACAAAUUCCAAGCUAGAUAAAGCUGAAAGAUAUUUUUUAUUCAUUUCAUUGGUGCCCAAUAGAUAUGCAGCUGUGGAUUUCUAAAAGCUGCUCUGAAAGUGCUUGUCUUGCCUAAAUGUUUUCCAUCUAAGUAUAUUCACUCAUCCUAGUUUGACACCUCAUCACAAGCCUUUCUUAUUGCUGAUCAGAAGCUGUUUCUUGUGUUUUUUCAUCUUUAUAUUUUCUAUUUUUCCCCCCAUUUUAUAUUUCUGCAACAAAUUCACACUAAUUCACUUCAUGACAUAAGCAGAAGUUCUUUAAUGCACUUGUCAACUUACCCUUGCUUAUUCUAGCAGUCAGGAUAAAUAGUACUUAAAAAGUUAUUUUCAUUUCUUUUUAUCAUUGUGAUUUAAAGACAAGACUUUCCAAUAAAUGUCACAGAGGCGUAGGAGUCAGUCCUCAUUUCUAAUGGUGCAAAAAGCUAAUUGUUAUGGUCACACUAGCUGCACCAGAAAGCCCAAGUGUUUUGCAUAUUUUACUUUGAGCUACGCCAGCUCUCUGUAAUGGCUGUGAACUUUCUUUCUUUGUAGCAUUUAAUGAAUUUCAGGAAGAAAGGAGACAAACUGAAGUUUGGUUUGCAUAGACCAUUACAGAUGCCAUUUGUGAUGAGAACACCAAGAGCAUUUUAGUAAAGUUACAGAUACUAUCAAUUAUUCAGUACUGUGGAAACAGAAACAGGAUGGAAGCCAUAAUUUUCUAAUGGCUAAUUUGUUAUGUGACAGUGGAUGAAGUUCAUAGUUACUGAGCUAUGAACUCUUAUUUUAACCUAGAUUGGUUCUGAAGUUGUCAAGAAUGUAAGCUUUAGACUUAUUAAAAAAAAAAAAAUACUGUGCUGGAAAUAUCUAGAAUCCCCACAUGCUGGUUUGGGCUGGGGUGGAAUUAAUUUUCUUCACAGUACCUGAUCUGGGGCUGUGUUUUGAAUUUGUGCUGGAAACAGAGCUGAUAACUCAUGGAUGUUUUUAUUUCUGCUGGUCAGGGCUUACACAGAGUCGAGGCCUUUUCUGCUUCUUCCCCAUCUUGUGGGAGUGCACGAGGUGAUGGGAGGGACACAGCCAGGCCAGCUGGCCCUAAGGACCCAGGUGACAUUCCAGGCCCAUCCAGGUGACAUUCCAGACCGUGUGGUGUCAUGGUCAGUGUACAGAGCUGGGGGAGGAAGUGCUGUACGUGGGGAAAGGCUUUCUCCUGUCUCUGAAUGCACUGGCACCUCGCUGUGGUGUGUCCUGCUGUUACAGACAUCAGGAGACCUGUUUGAGGUGAGCCAGAACCCAAACAGCAGACCAGGAUGGGCUCAGCAACCAUCAGCUGCUGCAAAAAUAAUCCAAACUAGAGACAGCUGGGCCGAGUUCAGAAGAAGAGUUGGAAGACCUGCGUGAAGAGGAAGAACCAAGAGCUGUGUGUGCGAGGGCACAGAAGUGGUGGAACUCCAGUUGCUUUGUGUGCCUGUCAAAAUGUGAUAUAAAACUGUGCAUCAGGCCAGGCCAGAUCCUUUCCAGUGUCAAAGAAAGAAAUACUGUUCUUGAUGAAAAGAUAUUAAGAAGACAAUAUUUUCUUCAUGCUGCAAGUAGGGAUAGAAACCUGAUAAAUAAAACAAAUCCAAGAAAAUCAGUA